UGGUGGAGUGAUUUGUCUGGUUAAUUCCGAUAACGAACGAGACUCUGUCCUGCUAACUAGGUUGUGUUUUCUCGGGUUGGUGUUUCUGGUGUUCCUUCUCGGGGCGCCGGCCCAAUCCACUUGUGAACACAACACUCUUCUUAGAGGGACUGGCGGCUGUUAGCCGCACGGGAUAGAGCAAUAACA
rnacentral:rRNA from 1 species